GUCGAGCGGACCGGGCGGGAGCUUGCUUCCGCUUGGUUAGCGGCGGACGGGUGAGUAACACGUGGGUAACCUGCCCGUAAGACCGGGAUAACUCCGGGAAACCGGGGCUAAUACCGGAUAACACCGAAGACCGCAUGGUCUUCGGUUGAAAGGCGGCUUCGGCUGCCACUUACGGAUGGGCCCGCGGCGCAUUAGCUAGUUGGUGAGGUAACGGCUCACCAAGGCGACGAUGCGUAGCCGGCCUGAGAGGGUGACCGGCCACACUGGGACUGAGACACGGCCCAGACUCCUACGGGAGGCAGCAGUAGGGAAUCUUCCGCAAUGGACGAAAGUCUGACGGAGCGACGCCGCGUGAGCGAAGAAGGUCUUCGGAUCGUAAAGCUCUGUUGUUAGGGAAGAAGAAGUGCCGUUCGAACAGGGCGGCGCGGUGACGGUACCUAACGAGAAAGCCCCGGCUAACUACGUGCCAGCAGCCGCGGUAAUACGUAGGGGGCGAGCGUUGUCCGGAAUUAUUGGGCGUAAAGCGCGCGCAGGCGGUCCCUUAAGUCUGAUGUGAAAGCCCACGGCUUAACCGUGGAGGGUCAUUGGAAACUGGGGGACUUGAGUGCAGAAGAGGAGAGCGGAAUUCCACGUGUA
rnacentral:rRNA from 1 species